rnacentral:pre_miRNA from 1 species
UUUCUAAUGUAAGUAUGUCUCAGGCAAUAUUUGGGGCAUAUUUAUAUUAAAA